UAAUUAUGUGCAAGGUGCCCCUUUGCCAGGAGUGCUUGGCAGUUUUUAAAUAAAAGCUGUAUCUUUAAUAACAAAAAAGUUAUGCAAAAUUUUCGAUCCAAAAAAGUACAUGUUAAUUGUAAAAAACCGAAAUUUCGAUUUUUCUCAAAAACUAUAAUUUUUUCAAUUUUGAUAAUUAUGUGCAAGGUGCCCCUUUACUAGGAGUACUUAAAUGUUUUUAAAUGAAAGCUCUAUCUUUAAUAACAAAAAAGUUAUGCAAAAUUUUCGAUCUAAAAAAGUACAUGUUAAUUGUAAAAAACCGAAAUUUCGAUUUUUCUCAAAAACUAUAAUUUUUUCAAUUUUAAUAAUUAUGUGCAAGGUGCCCCUUUACCAGGAGUGCUUGGCAGUUUUUAAAUGAAAGCUCUAUCUUUAAUAACAAAAAAGUUAUGCAAAAUUAUCGAUCUAAAAAAGUACAUGUUAAUUGUAAAAAACCGAAAUUUAGAUUUUUCUCAAAAACUAUAAUUUUUUCAAUUUUAAUAAUUAUGUGCAAGGUGCCCCUUUGCCAGGAGUGCUUGGCAGUUUUUAAAUGAAAGCUCUAUCUUUAAUAACAAAAAAGUUAUGCAAAAUUAUCGAUCUAAAAAAGUACAUGUUAAUUGUAAAAAACCGAAAUUUCGAUUUUUUUCAAAAACUACAAUUUUUUUAGUUUUUGAUUAUUACGUAUAAGGUGCCCCUUUGCAAGGAGUACUUGACAGUUUUUAAAUGAAAGCUCUAUCUUUAAUAACAAAAAAGUUAUGCAAAAUUUUCGAUCUAAAAAAGUACAUGUUAAUUGUAAAAAAC
rnacentral:lncRNA from 1 species